rnacentral:rRNA from 1 species
AGAUUAAGUUAUUAAGGGCGCACGGUGGAUGCCUUGGCACUAGAAGCCGAUGAAGGACGUUACUAACGACGAUAUGCUUUGGGGAGCUGUAAGUAAGCGUUGAUCCAGAGAUUUCCGAAUGGGGAAACCCAGCAUGAGUUAUGUCAUGUUAUCGAUAUGUGAAUACAUAGCAUAUCAGAAGGCAGACCCGGAGAACUGAAACAUCUUAGUACCCGGAGGAAGAGAAAGAAAAAUCGAUUCCCUGAGUAGCGGCGAGCGAAACGGGAAGAGCCCAAACCAACAAGCUUGCUUGUUGGGGUUGUAGGACACUCUAUACGGAGUUACAAAAGUAUAUAUUAGACGAAUCAUCUGGAAAGUUGAAUCAAAGAAGGUAAUAAUCCUGUAGUCGAAAAUAUAUACUCUCUUGAGUGGAUCCUGAGUACGACGGAGCACGUGAAAUUCCGUCGGAAUCUGGGAGGACCAUCUCCUAAGGCUAAAUACUCUCUAGUGACCGAUAGUGAACCAGUACCGUGAGGGAAAGGUGAAAAGUACCCCGGAAGGGGAGUGAAAGAGAACUUGAAACCGUGUGCUUACAAGUAGUCAGAGCCCGUUAAUGGGUGAUGGCGUGCCUUUUGUAGAAUGAACCGGCGAGUUACGAUUUGAUGCAAGGUUAAGCAGCUAAUGUGGAGCCGUAGCGAAAGCGAGUCUGAAUAGGGCGUUUAGUAUUUGGUCGUAGACCCGAAACCAGGUGAUCUACCCUUGGUCAGGUUGAAGUUCAGGUAACACUGAAUGGAGGACCGAACCGACUUACGUUGAAAAGUGAGCGGAUGAACUGAGGGUAGCGGAGAAAUUCCAAUCGAACUUGGAGAUAGCUGGUUCUCUCCGAAAUAGCUUUAGGGCUAGCCUCAAGUGAUGAUUAUUGGAGGUAGAGCACUGUUUGGACGAGGGGCCCUUCUCGGGUUACCGAAUUCAGACAAACUCCGAAUGCCAAUUAAUUUAACUUGGGAGUCAGAACAUGGGUGAUAAGGUCCGUGUUCGAAAGGGAAACAGCCCAGACCACCAGCUAAGGUCCCAAAAUAUAUGUUAAGUGGAAAAGGAUGUGGCGUUGCCCAGACAACUAGGAUGUUGGCUUAGAAGCAGCCAUCAUUUAAAGAGUGCGUAAUAGCUCACUAGUCGAGUGACACUGCGCCGAAAAUGUACCGGGGCUAAACAUAUUACCGAAGCUGUGGAUUGUCCGUAGGACAAUGGUAGGAGAGCGUUCUAAGGGCGUCGAAGCAUGAUCGCAAGGACAUGUGGAGCGCUUAGAAGUGAGAAUGCCGGUGUGAGUAGCGAAAGACGGGUGAGAAUCCCGUCCACCGAUUGACUAAGGUUUCCAGAGGAAGGCUCGUCCGCUCUGGGUUAGUCGGGUCCUAAGCUGAGGCCGACAGGCGUAGGCGAUGGAUAACAGGUUGAUAUUCCUGUACCACCUAGUAUCGUUUUAAUCGAUGGGGGGACGCAGUAGGAUAGGCGAAGCGUGCUAUUGGAUUGCACGUCCAAGCAGUAAGACUGAGUGUUAGGCAAAUCCGGCACUCAUAAGGUCAAGCUGUGAUGGGGAGAGGAAAUUGUUUCCUCGAGUCGUUGAUUUCACACUGCCAAGAAAAGCCUCUAGAUAGAUAACAGGUGCCCGUACCGCAAACCGACACAGGUAGUCAAGAUGAGAAUUCUAAGGUGAGCGAGCGAACUCUCGUUAAGGAACUCGGCAAAAUGACCCCGUAACUUCGGGAGAAGGGGUGCUCUUUAGGGUUAACGCCCAGAAGAGCCGCAGUGAAUAGGCCCAAGCGACUGUUUAUCAAAAACACAGGUCUCUGCUAAACCGUAAGGUGAUGUAUAGGGGCUGACGCCUGCCCGGUGCUGGAAGGUUAAGAGGAGUAGUUAGCUUCUGCGAAGCUACGAAUCGAAGCCCCAGUAAACGGCGGCCGUAACUAUAACGGUCCUAAGGUAGCGAAAUUCCUUGUCGGGUAAGUUCCGACCCGCACGAAAGGCGUAACGAUUUGGGCACUGUCUCAACGAGAGACUCGGUGAAAUCAUAGUACCUGUGAAGAUGCAGGUUACCCGCGACAGGACGGAAAGACCCCGUGGAGCUUUACUGUAGCCUGAUAUUGAAAUUCGGCACAGCUUGUACAGGAUAGGUAGGAGCCUUUGAAACGUGAGCGCUAGCUUACGUGGAGGCAUUGGUGGGAUACUACCCUAGCUGUGUUGGCUUUCUAACCCGCACCACUUAUCGUGGUGGGAGACAGUGUCAGGUGGGCAGUUUGACUGGGGCGGUCGCCUCCUAAAAGGUAACGGAGGCGCUCAAAGGUUCCCUCAGAAUGGUUGGAAAUCAUUCAUAGAGUGUAAAGGCAUAAGGGAGCUUGACUGCGAGACUUACAAGUCGAGCAGGGUCGAAAGACGGACUUAGUGAUCCGGUGGUUCCGCAUGGAAGGGCCAUCGCUCAACGGAUAAAAGCUACCCCGGGGAUAACAGGCUUAUCUCCCCCAAGAGUUCACAUCGACGGGGAGGUUUGGCACCUCGAUGUCGGCUCAUCGCAUCCUGGGGCUGUAGUCGGUCCCAAGGGUUGGGCUGUUCGCCCAUUAAAGCGGUACGCGAGCUGGGUUCAGAACGUCGUGAGACAGUUCGGUCCCUAUCCGUCGUGGGCGUAGGAAAUUUGAGAGGAGCUGUCCUUAGUACGAGAGGACCGGGAUGGACAUACCUCUGGUGUACCAGUUGUCGUGCCAACGGCAUAGCUGGGUAGCUAUGUAUGGACGGGAUAAGUGCUGAAAGCAUCUAAGCAUGAAGCCCCCCUCAAGAUGAGAUUUCCCAACUUCGGUUAUAAGAUCCCUCAAAGAUGAUGAGGUUAAUAGGUUCGAGGUGGAAGCGUGGUGACACGUGGAGCUGACGAAUACUAAUCGAUCGAAGACUUA